GACGAACGCUGGCGGCGUGCCUAAUACAUGCAAGUUGAGCGCUGAAGGUUGGUACUUGUACCAACUGGAUGAGCAGCGAACGGGUGAGUAACGCGUGGGGAAUCUGCCUUUGAGCGGGGGACAACAUUUGGAAACGAAUGCUAAUACCGCAUAAAAACUUUAAACACAAGUUUUAAGUUUGAAAGAUGCAAUUGCAUCACUCAAAGAUGAUCCCGCGUUGUAUUAGCUAGUUGGUGAGGUAAAGGCUCACCAAGGCGAUGAUACAUAGCCGACCUGAGAGGGUGAUCGGCCACAUUGGGACUGAGACACGGCCCAAACUCCUACGGGAGGCAGCAGUAGGGAAUCUUCGGCAAUGGACGAAAGUCUGACCGAGCAACGCCGCGUGAGGGAAGAAGGUUGUCGGAUCGGAAAACUCGGUUGGUAGAGAAGAACGUUGGUGAGAGUGGAAAGCUCAUCAAGUGACGGUAACUACCCAGAAAGGGACGGCUAACUACGUG
rnacentral:rRNA from 1 species